ensembl:lincRNA
GGCUGGAGGUGCCAUGCACUUGGGAAAUGCACAAAGCAAAGGGAUUCCUGCGGAAGAAGGAAUGUGCACAACAGUCCAACUAACCCAGGUGUAUCCUGUAACACAGUUAGCAAGAGCACAUUGUCUUGGUCUUUCACUGACCUGGAGCCAUGCCUCUGGAUCUGGACUUCUCCCCCUACCUUUAAAGAAGCCAUAGAGAAUGUCAGUGUGGGGCUGAUACUGGUAAGUUGUGACAUCGUCAGAAACUCCUACACAGGCAGCGGGUAAACAAACUCCUAGCCCCUUACCCUGCACCUCAUUCAAAGCGGAUUUGUGUUUCUUCUGAGACGGGUAGGGACCUAAGAGCAGGUUUUGCUAACAUCUGUAACUUCACUUGGACCUACAGACGCCCAGUAGAUAACUAACGGGCAACCAAAGCUUGAACUCCGUUUUUGUAUCCUUUGCUGCCGUAACUCUGAAUAUGCGUGUGCUCACCAUUUAGGAACGGUCAGCGAGGUUCAGUAGCCCUAGUGCACCGAGCCUGUCGCAUCCGCCUUGGAGACUCGGGGCGCUAAGACGAGAGUAACUGAAGUGAUUUCCAGGUUCCCUGGAAUAUCCGAUUACUGGCUUUUUACAACAUCCCCUUUCAGACCUCCUCCUGGAGCAAAACUAGAAGUGUCCAUCGCGUGUCCUAAACCUACGGUCAUCUGGGACCCAGGAAACCAGAGCCUCAGGAGCACAACUGCGUUUGCCGCUGACAAUGACGGGCCAUGUCAUGGGCGAGAAAUUGCCCCUCAGUCCAUAAAAUAUCCUGGAGAGCUCCAAAGCAGGAUGGAGAUAACGGUCAGCCAGAACCCAGGGCCCCACCACAGCCCAUGAAACUGGUCCCCACUGAUUUGUACCAGGCCAGUCUGUCCCUCUCUUCGGAGUAGGCUCCCUCCAGCAGUCCAGGCUGCAGUGGCCCCUUUCUUGUUUCUUCUUCAUCUGCUUCAUCAUGGUCUGGCUCAGUCUCCUUCAGCUCCUCAGACUAAGGCCCCUUUCCAUUCUCUCUCCUUUUCAAAUUGAAGUUUUUUCCUGCAAAUGCAUGCUCUUUAGGUUUAAUUUUUAUUAUCACUAAAGCAAAGACACAUUCGCUGAUGACAAUAUUUCCUCCCUUCCUUCGUUCUUUCCUUCUCCCUCUUCCCUCCCUUCUUCUUUCUCCCUUCAGUAAGUAGCAUAGCAUUAUCCAAAAGAAACGAUAGGUGCGCUGUCUCUUCUCAGAGGAGGUGAGACAAGCCUCUACAAGCCCAAGGAAUAUCAAAUUAAUUUGUGUAUAAAAAAUCUAAAGAAAAAAAUGUACACUAGUUAAGACCUGACUUCCACUGUAUUAUAAAAAUAACUUAAAUAAGAUAUUGUGUUUUACUACGAAAUUCUUUUUAGUGAAAGUGUUGUCUAAGAAUUAGCCCUUGAUAAGAAACUAAAUUUUACACUUCAAACAUGGCUGUAAAAAUUCAGUGCAUUUUUCUUAUGAUCAUAGAACAAUGCCUUCAUAGACCUCACAUGAAAGAAGUGUUGUUCACAGUAAAAGAAUCUGUAGACAUAAGAUCAUGAAUACCUUAUAAGAAUUACUUUAUAUAGAGUUAUGACGUAAGUGCCUUUAGAAACCUAAACAAACAUAAUUUAAAUAUAAAAGUAUAAGAGAUGGUAACCGUGGGAUACCAACUCUCACCUGAGUGGCUGUGUUCCAAAGUGAGGGAUGAACGUAAAAGUUGAGGUAACAGUGAGCUGGGUAACUAUAUUUUAUUAUGUAUAUUAAUUGAUUUGUUGCAAAACCUCAGGACAUAUUAGAAAGGAAAACACACAUGCUACCCUAGUACCACAGCAACUUCUACUCCCCGUCUGUGCCUGCUGAGAAUCCUAAGGACGUCCCAGGGGAGGGAGAAACAAGCAAAGAUUCAGAAAUGGGGACAGGACCGACAAACGUAGGUAAGGGCGGAGCUCCAUCAGGGAAGACCAAGGGCAGGAAAGAUAACAGAAAAAUGGGGCUGGGGGUUUAGCUCAGCGGCACAGCGCCUUCCUGGCAAGUGAGAGGUCUCAAGUUCGAUUCCCAGUACUGGAAAAAAACAAAAACAAACAAACAAAAAAAAUAACAGAAAAACAAGAGACAGAAAAUAGGAACUACAGUUUAGAAUUAUUACUCUAAAUAUCCUUAUGUUUGCCUACUACUUUUAUUUUACAGAACAGUUGUUUUGGUUCAGAUGAUUGCUACAGAUCCUCACGUUAAAACACUACAAUAGACAGGAAGUAUUUCUAGGGUGAGCAGGAAUGAUGACACCAGGUUAAUGCAUGUGUGCUUUCACUUCAAACCAGAAACAAGCAGCAACAGGAUAUAUAGGAUCAAAGGUACAAACCAGUGAAUGGACAUAAUUACUUUCCGCCAUAAUUACAAUUUUUGUCCCAUGUCUUGCCGUGGACAGGUCUAAGGCAUGCCUGACUAACCCUGCCAUAGGACUAUUCAAAUUAUGUCUACUCUUCACCCAAGUAGCAGUAAAUUAUCUACCUGUUUCAUAGAUGAUAUGUUUUUGACCAACGUUACUUAAGUAUAAUUUUCACAUAUGAAAUAUUUUACCAUUUACUUCACUGAGUUGAGAUGAAUGUGUAUGCCGUAUAACCACCAUUUUGCAGUUGAUGUAAAUACCUGUAUGCUUUUCUUUCUAACUGUAACAUUCUUAGCUUUGUUCUCUGGUAAUCAUUAAUAAGCAUCCUGGCACUUAGGGGUUAUGUUUUCUAAAGUUUCAUAUAAAUGGAAUGAUAUAAUAUACACUUUAUUCAAUAUGAUUCCUUCUAUUCAGCAUAUCUUUGAGAUUCAUCUUUGGUUUUGUCUGCACUGGGACAUUGUUCUGUUGUACCAAUAAAUAAAACUCCAUGUUAUGAGUGAAU